AGCGAACGUUAGCGGCGGGCCUAACACAUGCAAGUCGAGCGAGAAAAGGGCUUCGGCCCUGAGUAAAGCGGCGGACGGGUGAGUAACACGUAGGUAAUCUUCCCUUGAGCGGGGGACAACGAGCCGAAAGGCUCGCUAAUACCGCAUAAGUUCCCAAGGUCCUCGGAUCUUGGGAGGAAAGCUAGGUAGCAAUAUCCGGCACUCGAGGAGGAGCCUGCGUAGCAUCAGCUAGUUGGUGGGGUAAUGGCCUACCAAGGCGAAGACGCUUAGCUGGUCUGAGAGGAUGAUCAGCCACACUGAAACUGAGACACGGUUCAGACUCCUACGGGAGGCAG
rnacentral:rRNA from 1 species